rnacentral:rRNA from 1 species
GCUCAAAUUUGAAAGCUGGUACCUUCGGUAUCCGCGUUGUAACCUCGAGACACGUUUUCCGUGCGGCGCUAUGGACAAGUUCCUUGGAACAGGACAUCGUAGAGGGUGAAAAUCCCGUACUUGCCAUGGAUGUACCGUGCUUUGCGAUACGUGCUCUAAGAGUCGAGUUGUUUGGGAUUGCAGCUCAAAAUGGGUGGUAGACUCCAUCUAAAGCUAAAUAUCGGGGAGAGACCGAUAGCGAACAAGUACCGUGAGGGAAAGAUGAAAAGCACUUUGGAAAGAGAGUUAAAAGUACGUGAAAUUGUCGAAAGGGAAGCGCUUGAAGUCAGCCAUGCCGCUCAGGACUCAGCCUGGCUUUUGCUUGGUGUAUUUCCUGGGUAGCAAGUCAGCAUUGGUUUGGAUCGUCGGAGAAGCAUAGUCGGAAUGUGGCGCCCUCGGGCGUGUUAUAGCCUUCUAUUGGAUACGACGAUCUAGACCAAGGAACGCAGCGCGCCUUAUGGCGGGUCUUCGGACACCUUCGCGCUUAGGAUGCUGGCGUAAUGGCUUUAAGUGGCCCGUCUUGAA